UGAUGGUACCAUGGUGUGCUUUGUUAUCUGUGUUAGUGAACAAAUGCAGAUGGAAUUGCUAUCCCAUCAGCAAUUAUGAGCUACUCUGUACUCCAGGGUCAAUGUCUGUGUUAGUGUAUCCCUUGUGGAAGAAUGCAACAGGACAGAUCACAGCAUGUUUACCACAAAUAUUUCCCAAACAAGACUUUUAGACUUAGAAUGCAAGCUGAGUUUUCAUUAGGGCACCAUAAAUCAGAAGUUUUUACUUUGUCAAAAGAUGCUGAUAUUUGAAAUUUGAACUGCUUAGAUUUAAAGCAAAACUAUUUAUUAAUCCCUGGAUUUGGGAAACAUGGGAAAUUUGCUUAUCACUGCUGGGGUAGGAAUAUAAUUCCUACAGGCCUGACUGCUUACUGCCUUUGGACAGUCCCAAAAUCUGCACAUCUUCAGGAGCAACAGAGAAGAACCACAUGCCAGCACAUCUCCUGUGUUUUUCUCCCUUUGACUUCCCUAAAACCUGUAUUUCACAAAUCUUGGCCUGAGCCAGGAUGUUUCCCUCAGUUUCCCAUGCCAAUUUUCAAGGACUUAACUCAAAAUCUGUGGUAGGCACAAAGAGAACUGCUCUCUAGACCUGCAGAGAAACAGUUGAUGAUAAUUGACAGUGUUGGCUGUUCUUCAAAGGUUUCAAAAUCUCCAGUCUCAGCACGAAUAUUUUUUACUCUCACCAUGGCCAAAAGAAGAAAGGGAGCAUAAAGAAAUGCUGCUCAAAACAAUAGAAAAUUGGACUUGGAUUUGUGUACAAUGCCACAAUUUCGUGAAAAUAUGCCCUCCUUUAUUUUUCACUGCUGAUUUUUUUUAGAAAAAAAAAUAGUCUGGUAUUUAAAUGCUACACCACUGAGAAGAAGAAGAAAGUGAGUUAAUUUCGUAGUUUAUAUGAAUGCUAUGACGUAGUGUUGUGCAUGACUACACUUUAAUAGGUCUAUUUUCAGCCAUUCCUUGGCAUAGAUUAUAGUCUAAAUACAAAAAGUAAUAGAAAAAUGCACCUGCAGGUGGGCUUAAAACUUGCAUGAAUUAAUGUUUAAAAUAUUACUCAAUUAGUCCAGUUUUGAAUUCUUUAGCAUUUGUCUUCCUAUCUUGUGGUGCUUUUUCAAAUUUAUCCUCAGCUGAUUUACACUGGAUAAUUGACCACAUAUUCUAAACUGCAGACAAAGAAUUAGGAGCACUGAGUACAACCACAACAGCUCUCUGGGGAGGGAAGCUGUGCUAGAGAAAGAAGCUGUGCUUUGAGAAUGCCAUUGCAUGAGAGGAACUGCUCUGCAGAGACCGGGUAGGGCUGUGCACGAGUAAGAGAACAUAUUAUUAAGCAUUUUGAUUGAAUUCUAUUAAAUGGCAACUGGCUUUGAAACCCUGUUGUUUAAUGGGACCAUCCACCCUAAUUUGAAAAAUCUUUUUGUCGAGGUGGAAAGUGAGCGUGACAGAAAAAAGGUGACAAGCUCCAAAUUUCUGGUUCUUCAGUGACUUAAAGAUAUUACUGCUCUCACAGGAUUGCUUCUGCUUCCUCUCAAAGUUGUCACACACGUACAGGAUACGGAGCAAGACAUUACAGAGAUUAUUAAACCCACCUCAGGGACAGUUUAAACUAAUGUGAACUAAGGUCUGUGCAUCUUCAUCUGCAGGGACCCCACAGGGCAGGCAUCUAUCAGAUGAUGCCUUUAUAAACUGCUGCAGCUAAAUCAGCUUAUCCAUCACUCUUCAGUAAGCUGAGAAAUGUCAAGAAAUGUCUUCUUUUGGGAAGGUCUAAAGAUUGCAGACCUUUUACAUUUGCUAUUUUAAUUGCCUCAUCUGUGCAUAUAUUCAGCUGAUUCCCUAUUUCCUUGCCAAUACCUUGAAACACAGAUUCAGACUACAACACUAACAAAUCGAGUUUGGUAACAAAUAUAUCACGGGCUGUUCUAAGGGAAAACACUGCUGCAAAACCAUCUCUCAGGAAAAACAGUGGCUAUGACCCGUUAAACAGCUACAAAGUGCUCAGCUUUCCUGCUUUCUUGACUCGGGAUGACAAAUAUUGGUUUACUUCGGGUUAAGGCAAACUUCUCAGUAAACCAAAAAACAAUACUGAAGAUGAAAAUCCCACCUUGCACAAAGCCUGAUGGCUGCUCUGGGUUUGAACUAUCCAUUGUAAAAGUACAUGCUGGUUUCCUUUGUAAAGAUUCUCAUGACCUUUUGAACUAAUUCCUUUGGCCUACUGCUAUUUUAAUCUCAUUAAUUUGCAGGUAGACAGAUUCUUCUAUGCUGAUUGUAAAAUGAAUCUGCAUGAAUUUCCUUUUCCAAGAAUGCCUCUGUCUGUAGUGGUAGACUGCAUCUCUGUCUUUUUCCCUUUUCCAUUUCUGAAAAUUUUGGGAGGACGUGAAUUCCUGAAAAAUUUCACUUCAAGACUUCGGACCUAAAGGUACUCUGAUAGCAAAGAUGGAUGACAACACAGAAGCCAAUAGUAUUGACACAAACAAUUUUUUCCAUUGUGCCAACAUCAUUAGGGCAAAAUAGAUGAAAAAGUUGCUUUAGCCCUCCUUUUGUUCUGAAUGUAUUUAUACAAAUAUUUCGUAUUUUUCAGGCAGUAGCUAAAUUAAGUUUUGUCUAUUCUAUUUUUCUCCCUGCAUAACCUUACAACACCCUUGUAGUCCUCCUGAGUUUCCUGCAACUUGUUCCAAAGGUCAUAAACUCUCUCCAUCUAUAGAACUCUGAAGAUCUUUUCUCAUGAAGAACCCUAAGCAUAUAGACCUAAUUCCUCCAUUUCCCUUUUUACUGUGGUCAUCAUCAAUCAUAGAGUCAUAGAAUAGUUUGGAUUGGUAGGGACCUUAAAGAUCAUUUAGUUCCAAACCCCCAGCCAAGGGCAGGGUGACCUCACACUUGAUGAUCACAUAAAGAAAAACCUAGAAAAAUGGGAGUUAAAAACUACUGCCUAGUGUUUUGGAAAUGUAAAGGCUUCAGUUCACUUUUGAUCAUGAUGUGCAAAGCUGUACCCCAACACUGGACCACCACUGACCUUUGUCCAUCUAUCCUCUAAGCUGGUCUUCUGCUAGAUUUACCCAGCCAAGUAAAAUAGCCUUCGAUAUCAACAAGCCCAAACAAACUAAGCAUUUUUGCAAUAUCCCUGUUGAAUACAUUUAAGUAAAUCAACCUUUUAAAUUAAUAGGUUCCCUGUGCAAUGCUCUUAUCAGUCAACAGAUUCCUCCUGUAAUUAGACUGUAUUGCUUUAUAAAUGUACUUUUCCUUUAUAAUAAAAGAAAGGAAAAUUACUUUCAAAAAGCCAACAGUUUAGUCAAAUAAGGUUCAAGUCAAUUCAUUAUUCAAAUGCAGAGAAUAAUUUGUACAUAUUCAAUACCUGUGUUCUAUGUCUAUCUAAUAUCAAAAGGCACCAACUUAAUUUUAUGCUUUGUAAUGCACAUUAAGGAGCUUGUAUUUGUUUUGUAUUGAAGCAAUUCCAUGAGCUGUGCUAACUACGUGCAGUGUUCAACAAUAGCACUAACAGUUGGUAAAUGAGAGCCUUUAUGUUUAAUCUAACUCUUAACACAUUUCACAAUUCAGAUUCAAAUUGCUCGUCAAGAAUUUUAAUAUACUAAAAAGCCAUUCCAGACUAAAUAGACAAGUUUUGCAGUUUCCAACCGUUUUCCAGUAGCAGAGAGAGCUACCCUACCUUUCCUGCUUCUGGGAAAGAUUUACAGAACUGCUUGAAACUGAGGGAUAAAUCUCAGCACCCCAAGAUAAAUGUAGUUUCUGAGUUCACAGCAUCUUUCCAUUUGUCUGCAAACCCAUUUUGAUUACCUAAUAUGAGAUUUCAUUCUGGCUUCAAACUCAAGGACCUAGGCUUACUCUCUACUUUGGAUGCUGUUUUGUAAGAUAGGAGAUUUCCUGUUAUUUGAUGGUUGGAAAUUAAAUUAUAGUUGUGUCUUGAGCUAAAACUUUAGUGCUUCCACUUCAUUUGUGAAAGUGCUUGAGCAAUGUUGGAAGAAGGACAAGUUUAUUAUUCUAUUUUCUGAAACUGCUUGCACAUCAGAAAUUAUUUUUGUCCUAAAGAGUUUAUCAUGAAAAUACAUUAAAAUGAACACUCAGAGAAGACUGAAGAGGCAAAGAAUGUCUUUUGAGCCAUUCUUAUGACAGAAAUUACAUGCAAUUUAAAGAGAAAAAAAGAAUCCAGAUGACUGAAAAUUAAAAACUUUUAAUGAUGACAUUUCAUGAGGAAAAAAACAACUAAUCACCACCUCCACCAACAACAAAAUGAAAAAAUUCUGCAUUUGAGUUGACUAAGAAUAUUUUUAUAAAUAUUUAUAGUAUAUACAUUAAAAAAAAAAACAUAUGCAUAAAUAUACAGUAAUUGUAGAGGUUUAGAUUGGAUAUUAAAAAAUAUUUCUUCACUAAAAGGGUUUUCAGGCAUAGGGACAUGUUGCCCAGAAAAGUGGUGGAAUCAUUAUCCCUGGAAGUGUUCAAUAAUACCUUGGAUGUGGCAUUUAUGGAUGUGGUUUAAUGGUAUAAAUGAUGGUGGUGCUGACUGCACUUGGUAAUCUUAGAGGUCUUUUCCACCCCUAAGGAUUCUACAUGUGUGUAUAUGUAUAUUUACACCUCCAUUCAGCUAUGGAAAACUGCCAAGCACAAACAACUCCCCCUGAUUAAUUCAAUCAUCAAUACAAACAUCUUUUACAUCCCUGUGCCAAGCAGUGAAAAAUUAUUGGCAAAUCUAAAAAAACACACAAUUUAAAGAUGUGGAAGCCCACAGAGCCCAGAUUGUGGAUGCCAUUUUUUGUGACACUGUUUCUUCUCAGCCUGGUUUUGGAAUUUUAAAUAUUUUUAUUGAACAGAGCAACCAGAAACUACAUAUAACAGGCAUGGGACACAAAUCUUGGUCCUAUUUGGCAGAAAAACAAUGCCUUUCUGUGUUUUGUCUGACAGCAGCAGAUAUGUGAACACAGAACUUUCUUGAAGGUCAGGUGACACCCACAUAAGCCAGCUCCUGUAAAUCUCUUUCCUCUCAUAUCUACCAACAGGAAGACAGCAUGCUUAUAGGAGGAACAGCUAUGGAAAACUGAGAAAAUUAGUAUUUUCCAUUAAAAAAGUAAAAUUGAUGACCAAACAUUUAAGAUAAAUAGAAAUAUUGGACUAGGAUGUGCAUAUUCUAUCAAGUUAAUAAAUUGCUUUAUUUGUAUUGACUUAUUAGUCUGUAUUUGAUAUGUCAGUUCAUUAUCCUAAGCUCUAAAAUAAAAGUAAAAUCAUUCUGUUA